rnacentral:rRNA from 1 species
AGCGCAGACGGUUGGUUAAGUCUGAUGUGAAAGCCCGGAGCUCAACUCCGGAAUGGCAUUGGAAACUGGUUAACUUGAGUGCAGUAGAGGUAAGUGGAACUCCAUGUGUAGCGGUGGAAUGCGUAGAUAUAUGGAAGAACACCAGUGGCGAAGGCGGCUUACUGGACUGUAACUGACGUUGAGGCUCGAAAGUGUGGGUAGCAAACA